AAUAAACAUUAAAAUUUUUUUUAAAAACUGGAAUUAUACAGAGAAGAUUAGCAUGGCCCCUGAGCAAGAAUAUUUUGCAGACUGGGGGGGCACCUAUGU
ensembl:snRNA U6 U6 spliceosomal RNA